CGGGGGGAGCAAGCGUUGUUCGGAUUUACUGGGCGUAAAGGGCGCGUAGGCGGCCAGCACAAGUCAGUUGUGAAAUCUCCGAGCUUAACUCGGAAAGGUCAACUGAUACUGUGCGGCUAGAGUGCGGAAGGGGCAACUGGAAUUCUUGGUGUAGCGGUGAAAUGCGUAGAUAUCAAGAGGAACACCUGCGGCGAAGGCGGGUUGCUGGGCCGACACUGACGCUGAUGCGCGAAAGCCAGGGGAGCGAACGGGAUUAGAUACCCCGGUAGUCCUGGCCUUAAACGAUGAAUGCUUGGUGUCUGGGGUUAUAAAGUCCCCGGGUGCCGUCGCUAACGCUUUAAGCAUUCCGCCUGGGGAGUACGGUCGCAAGACUG
rnacentral:rRNA from 1 species